AUAUACAACAACAUAAUACGAUAGAAAUAGAGACUGUGAAAAUUAGUUAU
rnacentral:guide_RNA from 1 species